rnacentral:lncRNA from 1 species
UUUCCUUCCUUUUGUAAUCAGGGUUUUAGAUAACCAAACUUUCCUCUUAUUCUACAGUUUCUUUCAGAAAGGUGGAGAUGUGCAGAAGGGGCUGCAUGAAGUGAGAUGAAAUUUGGGGCAGCUUUUUAAAUUUAGAGAACAAGAAAGGACCCUGAAUUUGAUGCAUCCACAUCACAUCUGUUACCUGGAAUCCACAGUUUGUGAGCUCUGUUCCCAGUUGGGAGAAGUGAAGAGGAUCUGUGAAAACAAGGUCCAAGACCUUGAGAAGCAGUUCUACCUAGCUCAUUCUGAGACAGCAGAAGCUCAGACAGGCAGCACUCAGAAUUCCAAACUGAGGACCAGUGUUAUUUCGCAGACAAGAAAUACAGGACGUGGAAGCCCCAUGCAGAGUGUCAAGGAUGAGAAAGAAGCCAGAAUAUGUGAAAUGGAGGCCAAGCUGAGCAAACUGGAGCUGGAAAAGGUUCAACUGGUUAGCACAUGCACCAAGAGGCUCCAGGCACUGAAUUAUACAAAACUGGAAAAAGAUGAUCUCCUGCAGGAACUCUGGGCUGGCCAGAGGGAGCUAGCUGGCCCUGCAGGCAUCCCUGCAGUUUGCUGAGUGCCAGUGCAUCGUGCAGUGCCAGGAGCAGGAAGCCAUGCAGGCUGCAGCACACCUUGGAUGUGAGAGCGAGUGCCUUCCUGGGAAGUGUGGGCCCAGCCUCAGGUUCAUUUGCUUUGGGGCCUGGCUUUAGGUUUAACCUCUUCUGUGCCAACAGCUCUCAAAAGUCUGUGUUCUGAAACCCUUUUCUGUGUGGAAUUCCUCAGUGCUGCACAUGUCCAUAAUUCCAGGUUUUUGGAGUGCUAUUUCCAGUAAUGACAACAAAAUAUUAGAUGGAGUCCAAUCCCUGUCUAUACUCCUUAGAUGGACAGAGGAUAUUUUUUACUUUUGCCUUAUUUCUAACCAUGGACUCUUCAGGCUGCAGUGAGGCUACUGCUCUAAAUGAAGGGUACCUUGAGAGCAGCAGUUUAAUCACAAGAAGUUAUCGUUCAUUUUAGUGACCCACCCCAGCUGCUGGCUUUGGGAGAGGAACAGAGUGCUAUAUUCAAAAUACAAUUCUACAUAAGCAAUACAAAAAGUGCUUCAGAGGAUGAAUGACCAAGGUGGGGAACUUUUAUUGUUUUUCCCCAGGAGCUGCAGGGCCCAGGCUACUCCUCAGCUUCUGCCUCAGGGAAGCUGCAGCACUCUGUGCCUCGGUCCCACCUGCUCUCUGCUGUCUGGCCACAUGCCCUGCACCUGCCCCGCUCUGCCCCCCAGGUGAGUGCCUGCCUCAGCAUGGACACCAGCACGUCCCAAACAGCAAAAAUAACAUGGAAUUCCUUCAGGGAAGAGCAUCUGCUCAGAGCAUCUGAGAGCAAAUUCCUAACGCCCAAGGUGAAAUAAUUCCUGUAGCUUCGCAUGUGCUGGGUCCUUUCAGAUUUUUUUUUUUGGUGCAAAAAACAAUGUGACAACUAUAAAAUCCUAUAGCCUGUGCUAAGUUCAUCUUACCUCUUCCACAAAUGACAUUCAUGAACUAUUAAGUCUGAAGGUAAGUAGUUUGGUUUUCACUUUUUUUUUGCUGUUUAUCACAUUUGACAGUGAAAAUAGAUUUGUGCUUAGUUGUUGAAACAUUUAAUCAUCUGCUUGAUAUUUGAAUCUUCCUCCAACCUGGCUUUUAUGAUUUUGAUCAGUUUUAUCCACACCGUUUUUCUUCCUUUUGAUUUUGUACGUCUACCUUUAGAUUGAAAUAAAAUACACUGAUUUUUCA